GCAGGGUGUAGUGGUGCACACCUGUAAUCCCAGCAUCUUGGGAGGCUGAGGCAGGAGGAUCUCGAGUUCAAAACCAGCCUCAGGAAAAGCGAGGCACUAUGCGGUGAGACCCUGUUUCUA
rnacentral:sRNA from 1 species